rnacentral:lncRNA from 1 species
CUUUGUUGAUCCUUAAAGGACUAUGGAACCUCCAAUGGUUUGAACAAGAACACAGUAAUUCUCUAUCAGAGACGAGUCUCGAAUUCUACAAUAGACCGGUUUAGGCAGCAGAAACAACAACAUUCACAUAUGAUGUAGAUGAUGAAGGUAGCCAGCCAAGAGAGCGAGAUUAUUUGGGUCCCCAGGAGUCCAGGUAGAUGAUCUUGGACAUCGAAUCCUCGGUGCGCCUGGCUCUCUCCACCGCUUUCUCCCCUCCUCUCCUCCACUGAUCAAUGGAAGAAGAAGACAUCCUCUUGGCCCGAGAGAACGGCGCCAUGCUGCGCUUGGCACGCCCGUGGAGGGACCUGAGCGCGUAGUUCCAUCGACACAGGCCCGCCUGAUCCUUGAGCGCCUCCACCGCCGCCACGCUCGCUGCGACGAUCAGCGAAGCCUUGCUUGCCGAAGCCAUAUGUAUCAAUCUACUACUCAGUAGUUUGAACCUGUGAUGAGUUGCAAAUGUUACAGAAGUGGGCGACGGGGAAGGGAAACACAAGCGUCCAUAUAAAGCCCCCGAGGAAGGGAAAACAGGGGAUGAGAUUGCCGCUGGUUUCGGCUCAUAGUUGUUUCCCAGAUACAAGGGGAGGCUUUUGCUUGUUUACGGAUAAGACUGUGACUGCAUUGGAAUCAGUGAGACGGAUGGUUUGGUAGGAGAAAACGUGUGGCUAAAGUAGAACAAAAGGCACACGGAUCGGAGACCUGUGGGCGGCACCAGUAAACCGGGAAUCUAACGGUUGAUCAGCCAUCCUUGCUUGGCUUGGCGAUCCUGUCGAGAUGUGAGGUUUGGUCUCUCUCUAUCUCUCUCUCUCUCUCUCUCUCACACACACAUCUUUGAGUCGAGCAACUGCGGAUGGAUUCCCUUCUUACUCCUGUUUUUGUUUCGGUAACAAAGGUCACUCAGCAUCAGUCUCUUGCUGGAUCGAUAAUAGUAUCUAUCUAAAACAAAUUCUCUCUUUUUUUAUUGUUCUUGUAUGAGCUGAAGAUAAAGAAAGGGAUAAACAUUGGUGAGAGAUGGGAGAGAGUGAUCUUUCGAAGAUGUGAUUGAUUUAGCAUAGCUUCUGCCGAUGGAUUUCAUGUCAUCCUUUGCUCCUUUUAAUCAGUUCCAUCGAAUAUAUAUGAGAUAAGACGAGAAAUGCCACAAACAUCUUGAACAAACUUAUCCAUGCCAUGAAAAGGCCUCAUCAUGUUCGAACAAUUCAGUAUAUAUUACUGCAAAAUCGGAUUGUUUUUACAUAGGAGACGUAGGCUGAACAGAGAAGAAGGAUUUGGUUCAUCUUUGAACCAAACACAAAGACACCUCUCUCUAAUUGGGACCCCAACAGCUCAAGUACACGACCGUCCUCAGUGCCUCCUCUGCUUGCUUGGCCUUCGCAUCCGCCGCCUGCCACUCUCUCCUCGUGUCGAUGGAGGAAGAUGUCCUCUUGGCCCGAGACAAGGAGCCUACGGUGUUGUUCUUCGUCCGCUGCUGCAGAGAUCUGAGGACGUAGUUCCACCGGCAUAGCCCCGCUUGGUCCUUGAGCGCUUCCACUGCGCUCAUGCUAGCCGCGACAACGAAACAAGCCCUGCUUGCAGAAGCCAUAUCUUUAGCCUAUGAAAGAACUGAUGAGUGACAAAGAAGAUCUCGGUGGAAGUAGAUCGUGAGUGUCUCAAUCUGAUGCCGAAGAAGGAGAUGGAAGGGUGUCCAAUAUAUAAGGCUACGGUAAUCGAGGAGGUUGGGAGGAGAGGGUAUGGAAGAGAAAGAGAACCGGGGUGCGCUGCUGCUGGUUUCUUGCUUCUCACUCCCCCUUCCCCUGAUACCAGCGGCCAUAUUGCUUGUUUAUUAGCUUCCACAUGGUUGGAUUUGACACCGCGAGAGUGACGCCAAGGAACUUGGCAGCAUAUGUAUCUUGGAUCUGUAAUAUGUAUAGUAUAGUAUAGUAUAGUAUAGCAUAUAUAUAUAUAUAUAUAUGGUUUCAUCCAAUAAAUUUAUAUCUGAAAUAUUAAUUUCAAGAUGAUAUACGUAUUUAUUUAUCUCCGUAAAAUUAAGCUACAAAAUCUGCAUGUCCAUAAUAAUAAUGGAGAUGAUCACAAAACCCAAGCGAGACGAAUGGCGUCGUCUCUACAACACUCCUAUUUGGGUCCCCAGCAGUCCAAGUAGAUGAGCUUGGACAAGGACCUCUCGGUGCGCUUGGCUCUCUCCACCGCUCCCUCCCCUCCUUUCCUCCACUGAUCAACGGACGACCAAGACAUCCUCUUGGCCUGAGAGAGCGUCGCCAUGCUGCGUUUCGCCCGCUGGUGGAGGGACCCAACCGUGUAGUUCCAUCGGCACAGCCCUGCUUGAUCCUUGAGCGCCUCCACAGCCGCCAUGCUCGCUGCGAUUAUCAACGAAGCCUUGCUUGCCGAAACCAUACGUAUCAAUCGCCUGCUCUGAGUUUGAAUCUGUGUAACAGAAGUGAGUGUUCGACGGGGAAAGGGAAAGAGCACACGACAGUCCAUAUAAAGCCCGGAACGGAGGGCGGCUGCAGGGAAGGGAGAGGUGGAGGAAGGAGGAAACUGGGGAUGAGCUGCUGCUGCUGCUGGUUUUGGGUUGCUGUUGUUUUCCAGAUACGGAGGGCUUUCGGUAGGCACUUAAAAAAUAUCCAUCUACUAAAGCAGAAGCAAAGCCACACGGAUCGAAAAAUGGUGGGCUCGACUUGCAGUGGGUGCACGAGGAAACUGGGAAUCCAGCGACGCAGAUAUGGAUUGUUCUGUCAGCUGGGUUGUCCUGUUUAUUUGGUUUUUGCCUUCAGCUCUGGUUAAGAAUUAGGGUUCGAUCAAUAUCAAUAAUGAUGCUCGAAUUACGAAACAAGUAACUAUAUCAAUACAUAGAUUCCUUUGUUGGUAACUCAUCUGGAAUGACGCGAGCUUAGCCAUCCAUCAUUGCUGGAAAGUAUUUGUGUGAGUUGAAAACUGUGGUGAAAGUGUAGGAAGUUUACUGUCUCACCGAGAAAGAGAACACUUUGGCGAAGAAUUCAGAUCGAUGGACACAAGGAAAACAUUUCUAACAUGCUUAUCCACGCCAUGAAAACGCAUCAUCCAUCAUGCACGCUCCAAGAAUUCAGAAGAAAUGGUUGAUGAAUAUACAUCAUCAAAGCUGGAUAAUUUACAGUGGAGAAGUAAGCUGAAGCAAAAGGAUCCUCUAAUUGGGACCCCAACAGCUCAAGUACAUGACUGUUCUCAGCGCCUCCUCCGACUGCUUCCCCUUCUCCGCCGCCGCCUGCCACCCUCUCCUACUCCUGUCGACGGAGGAAGAUGUCCUCUUGGCCUGAGACAACGACCCCAUGCUGCUCUUCGCCCGCUGCUGUAGGGAUCUGACGACGUAGUUCCACCGGCACAGCCCCGCCUGAUCCUUGAGCGCCUCCACCGCGCUCAUGCUCGCUGCCACCACCACACAAGCCCUGCUUGUACAACCCAUCUCUUCAAUACCUCCCGAGUGAGUGCAAAGAGGAAGUAGCUUGUAGUUCUCUUCUCUCGAUCUGAUGCAGCAGUGGGAAGGGAAUUGUGUGCAAUAUAUAAGGCCACAAUAGUUGAAGACGAUAAGAGGAUAAGAUGGAUGGGGGACAGAGGGAAGAGGAGAGUGCCGCUGCUGGGUUUGUGCUUUCCGAUUCCUUUUCCCCCAAACCAGGGGCUCUAUGCCAUUUGCUUAUUGGCCUCCACUUGCUGAACUGGACCCAGCGAAGUAGAUUGGCGGCGUGUGCGAACGCACGUACCUGGGUGAGGUUCUUCUGACCUGUAUGCAUAAUAUGCGUUUGCAUAUGAGGAAAAUAUUGGUUUUGAUAGGAUAAAUAAUAAUCCGGUCAAAACUCAUCCCAUCAUCUUGAUUAAAGAAGUCACCUCAACCAUAAGAGAAGGCCUACAUGCAUGUAUUGAAGCAAAACGAUACGGCGACACAAGAAGCCAUCCUCCGCCUAUCUCGGACAAGCCAAGAGCCCUAACAAAACAUAUAAUCACAGAUGUCCUAUCCUGACGUCAUUCUUUAGAGGAUGCACUCGUCAACUACCACAAUCGAUAAUCCCUUGGCAGGGUAAGGGACACCCUAACCCAUCAUUGGCUUUACGCCAUCAAUCACUCAGGUAUAAAACCCAAGCCCCUAAGCCAAACGGGGACAGGCAGACUCUAUCUCAGCUCUUCUAAGAUCUACUAAACCCCCUUCACAUACUAUACUAACUUCGGUGUCGGAGGGAUCGGGUCGGGACAUCCUCCAAUGUCGAUCGCUUGUGCAGGGCUCAUGCAUAUCUAAGGAGCACCUCAGAGUGAUGCUGAGCGCUUUUAGACAAGGCCAAGACACCCCUCGAGAUGACCUAAAACUUCUACCAAUAGACAAGUUGCACCUUGGGACGAUCGUGAGUCAACUACCAUAAGCCAACAAUGCUUUGGAAGUCCACUUGCCACCUCGGCUACUCACUCGAGUCGCCUCAUCCAUGUAGGUGCGGACCCCAAGGAUGGAUCUACACCUUCGGGAUCGAACCAGGUUGUGUUAACUCUCCGGUCAAUAGUACUAAUGUAACGACAUUUUAGCACUGAAAGGAGGGCCCGAAUGUCGCAAGAAUAUUCAUCCACGACUUUCCCUGAUGAACUAUCAUGAACUUAGCUGAAAUUGCCUAAGCCAUGAGGCACUAUUAUGGCAAAGUCUUAGACUUAGCUUGAGUUGUCUAAGUCGUAAAACACCCUUGCGCCAAUUUCUCAAACUUAGCUGGGAUUGCUUGAGUCAUAACGCGCCCAAACGAUAUGCGGCCACAAAGGGUCAAUCAAUUUGCAACCUCACUCAGGCCUUGAAAGACCUGUAAAAAAAAAAGUGAACUAGUUCAAAAACGAGUGACGGACAAGUCCCCACGUCUCAUAAAAAGGGAAGCUUUAUAAGCAAUUCAAUGAGCACCUUAUGUGCAUGGGAGAAAAGAGAGGAAUGAGAAAAACAAGGACUUUAAAAAGUUGAAGGAAUAGUUGCAAGUCCAUAAACAACUGCUCACCGGGUGUUGGGCGCAAAGGCAAGUCCCCGUCAAGUUAACAUACAAACUUAUGAAGAUUUUUCAAUGCCCGACACUACCCCAAAGCUCCAUUUCCCUUGGUGCCACCCGGGGGAUUCUAGGAUGCUGAGAUGGCUGACAUUUUACGUGUAGUAACGGGCUAUAGAAAACAACCUAUGGCAUAUGAAAAUAAAGUCAUUUUGGGACAGUUUUGCCCGACACAACGAGUGGUUGCACUAUAACACUGAACCUAUUCGAAUAUACAUUUUUAUAGCAAAAACACAUAAAACCAAGGCAAAAUAUGUUGCCAAGCAUUUAUACAUAUAUGCAAAAGUGACGAACGGUUCGUUGAAUGAAGUUGUGUGGGUGUGCGACGAUCGUUCGUGUUAGAAUACUCUAGUAAAGAAGCGUUGCCACUGGUACUUGAUGCCUUCGGACGGGAAGGACAACUUAUGUCCUUCCCUCAGGUGGACACCUUCACCUUGGCACAAACACCGAGAUGUCAUUGACAUAUGUUUAACGAUCUUUGGGAUUGAGUGCGGGACACCUACUCAACCCAUUUGAUGCCUUCCUAAGACUCACAUAUCAAGUGCAAGCACUUGUCGGUAUGAUGUAGGUGAUUGCCCCUCUCCUAACCCAACUAAUAUAGUAGGCAGCCUCGACACUACGGCCAGCAAUCCAACCCCUGCUCGCCGACUUGCCUUAAGGAGUAUCCCCAGCCAGCUCCCAACAAAUGCCCCUGAAAUGCCAUCACCAAGCUAAGGUGGCUCUCGAAGCGUAAAUACCCUCGAUAAUAGAGCUCAGUGUCCCAUCGUAUCGCAAGGUGUCCAUGGCCAGAUCGGGGUCAUAGUUCAUUAACUCGAUCGAGAAUUCACUCAAAGUAUAACUUCGGGCCUUGAACCAGCGUCUAAACAAUGUAUAAAAAGAAUUUCUGCAUUUAAAGGAUGAAUAUGACACCUCGAAUGCCUCCCCAUUCGCUCAAAGCAUUCAAGAGGAGCCCAUUUUGGCUAACUUCUGCCCCUCAUUGCUAGAGGCCUUCAAUAGCAGCUCUGAUCCAAUGGAGCACAUUGUAGCCUUUAGGGCUCAGAUGUCAUUAUUUGACACAUCAGACACCUUAAUGUGCUGGGCAUUUCCCACGACCCUAAGUGGGCCAGCUCAAGAGUAUUAUAGUCGCUUGAAACCCCUCUUGAUCACCUCCUUCCUGUAGCUUGCAAAAGAAUUUGAGCACCAUUUUCUCGCUAAUGUGCCCCCAAAGCCAUCCAUAGCCAUGCUGCUCGGGUUGAGAUGGAGGGAAGAUGAGCUUCUCUCCUACUUCGUCGAUCAAUUUAUCGAUGAGAUUCGAGGGAUCCCAGAUGCCCAUCCCUCGUUGGUGACCCAGACUUUCAUGAUGGGCCUGAGGCGUACAUGCUUCGUCUAGUCACUAGUGGAAAAAAUGCUCACAACCAUGUUCGAAAUGCUGCAAAGGGCUAAUCACUAUGUAUCCGCUGAGGACAUGAUCUCAAGUUGAGUAGUUAGAAAAUAUAUUUGAAGAAUUAUAUAAUAAGUUGAUUGAUCAUAAAAUAUAUUUAAAACAAGGACAGAGAUGAGACCAACUAUCACAACACAAUUCAAUUAAAAAUCUAGAAGAAAAAGUAAUCAAAGCAACAAGAACUUCAAUAAAGGACCAAACAAGAUGCCUCCCGGACAUAUGAGUAACAUAUAAAGCCAUCAUCCUCCGUUAUACCAUUAAAGCAACAGCUACAGUGGCAACUUCAAUCCAAACAACUCAAAAAAUAACUUUAAUUAUAAUUAUCAAUAAUUUUGGCAUCCCGACAAUAACAAUCAGCAAAAGGUCAUCUACUAGCUCUAUGAUAAAAUUGGGCACGCAAUAAAAGUUUAUUGAUUUGGACCCAAGUCCACUACUACACCUAAUUGGCCUCAAGCAAACAUCAUGGCUACUCUGACUGCUCAUCCAAGUAAUUGAAUUAUUAACUCUGAUACUUCUCAUCAUAUCACAUUUAAUUUAUAGAAUUUAUUUAUUCACAACGACUAUAGAGGCAAUGAAGAUAUUAUCAUUGGUGAUAGUAAUAAAAUCUCUAUUACUUACACUGGUCUCACGAUACUUAAUCUAUAUAUAAACACUUUUACACUCAAUGAUAUUUUAUGUAUACAUCAUAUUAAAAGGAAUCUUUUUUUUAUUUUAUAAAUAAAAUAAUAUAUUUAUUAAUUUUUUUUACUUAUUUCUUGUAAAGGAUCUGAGCCCAAGAAUAUCCUUGGUUCGAGACUAGAAUAAAAUAACAAGUGUGAGUGACCGUUAACUUCAUAAAUCACCCAACCAAUCGCUUUUGUUUCAAUUACUACUCCGAUCGAUGUGUGACAUCAUCGCUUUCGUCAUCCAUCAUACAUUAUUCAAUGAUAACUAAUUUCUCCCUUUCUAUUUCCAAAUAAAGUAGAAUUGUAAUAUGCUUGUCUUAGUAAUAAAAAUCACAUACUAUCUUUUGGAAUGUCUUCCAUAUUAUACUCCAAACAACUUGAAAUUAUUUAUACUAAUGUCUAAGGCCUUAUUCUAACCAAUUCCUUUAAUAAUUUUAGAUUUUAUGUUAUUUUUAUAAAUUAUUUUACUAAAUAUAUAUUACUAUAUUCCCUCAAACAUAUGAAGUUAUCAUAGUUUUUACUUAUUUUAAAAAAGUGAUCGAGAAUUUCUUCUAAGCUAUUAUUAAAAUAAUUUACUUUAACGAAAGAGGUGAAUACUAAGCUAUGAUGACUUACCUCUCAACUAGUUAGCUUUGCUAAAUGAAAACACAGACACAUAACUGAAACAUGUCUCACCCUCAUACACUAAGCAUCUAUGCUGCUAAUCUUUUGAUCAAUAAUCUUUCAAACUAUAGUCUACCUCAUUAACUGUAUACUCACCUUUAAUCCUACAACACCAGUUAUUUAAAAAAUUAUUUUAUAAAAUUAUAAAUUUUUAAAAACUCAAAGUAUUUGAUUGUUUAUGUUAUUCAUUACUACGUCCUUAUACUUUACAUAAGUUAACACCAAGAUUCAAACUUUAUAUCUUUGAUGUUAUAAUUCUAAAACUCAAAAGAUCUUUAUAUCACGUCAUAUUAUCUUUGUUACAUCUUUCUCUUUCAAAAUCUUAUUCCUUCAUCAAUAUAAACCAAUAUAACAAUCAUCCAUUAUUGGAUUCAUACGAGUACACCUUAAACCCCUAACCCCUCCUCCCCCUCAAAUACACUUCCCACAACAUCAAUCAAUAGUUAUCUAGACCGCCUCCCCCCCUCCCCUCAAACACACCUCUCACGACAUCAAUCAAUAGUUCUCUUUACUCUAGUCUCCUCUGUUAGGUAAUAUUGAAAUGCAUAAACUUAAUUAAAUAAGUGUCACCAACCCUCAAAUACACUUCCCACAGGCACCCUGCUUGAUCCAAGCCAUGAAAACGCAUCAUCCAUCAUGCAUGCCCUAGGAAUUCAGAAGAAAUGGUUUUAUAUACAUCAUCAAAGCCGGAUAAUUUACAGAGGAGAAGUAAGCUGAAGCAAAAGGAUCCUCUAAUUGGGACCCCAACGGCUCAAGUACAUGACUGUUCUCAGCGCCUCCUCCGACUGCUUCCCCUUCUCCGCCGCCGCCUGCCACCCUCUCCUCCUCCUGUCGACGGAGGAAGAUGUCCUCUUGGCCUGAGACAACGACCCCAUGCUGCUCUUCGCCCGCUGCUGCAGGGGUUUGAGGACGUAGUUCCACCGGCACAGCCCCGCUUGAUCCUUGAGCGCCUCCACCGCGCUCAUGCUCGCUGCCACCACCAAACAAGCCGUGCUUGCACAACCCAUCUCUUCAAUACCUCCCGAGUGUGAGUGCAAAGAGGAAGUAGCUCCUAGUUCCCCACUCUCGAUUUGAUGCAGCAGUGGGAAGGGAAUCGCGUGCAAUAUAUAAGGCCACAAUGGUUGAAGAGGAUAAGAUCAAUGGGGGACAGAGAGAACAGGAGUGCGCUGCUGCUGGUUUUGUGCUUUCCGUUGCCAUUUCCCCGAUACCAGCGGCUAAUGCCGUUUGUUUAUUGGCUUCCACUUGACUGAACGCGACACAGCGAAGUAGAUUGGCGGCGUGUGCCAACGCACGUACCUGGGUAAGGUUCUUCUGUCCUGUAUGUAUAAUAUGCGUUUGUAUACGAGUAAAAUAUACGUUUAUACGGUGGUAUUAAUAUAUAUAUAUAUAUAUAUAUAUAUAUAUAUAUAUGUGAAUAAACAAUGGUUGUUAGAAUUAAAUGAGAGAUAAAAAUAAUAAAUAAAAAUAUAUCAUAAUUCCAUUUCAUGAACUCCAUAAAAAAUUCACCAUUCACUGCAAAAUCUGUUCAUCGUAAUAGAGAUGAUAGAAACCUCAACAACAAGUAAUUGCGUCUUAUUUGGGUCCCCAGCAGUCCAGGUACAUGAUCUUGGCCAUGGACUCCUCGGUGCGCUUGGCUCUCUCCACCGCUCCCUCCCCUCCUUUCCUCCACCUAUCGAUGGAGGAAGACAUCCUGUUGGUCUGAGAGAACGGCGCAAUGCUGUGCUUGGCACGGUGGUGGAGGGACCUCAGCGCGUAGUUCCACCGGCACAACCCUGCCUGGUCCUUGAGCGCCUCCACCGCCGCCACGCACGCUGCGACCAUCAACGAAGUCUUGCUCGCCGAAGCCAUGCUUGCUUGUUACCGCUGAGCUGCUCUGGAUCUCCGAGGAGAUGGCAGUGAAAAGGGCUUUUGUGUGAUCUUGGAGCUUUGGGUGGGUGAUAGACGACAAUGAGGGAGAAGAGCCGCGAGUCCAUAUAAAGCGCAGCUCGCAGCUGGCAGCUGGCUGUUACCGACAGGGAUACAAAACUGUGGAUGAGUUGCAGCUGGGUUUUGAUUACCAGCGAUGGAACACGAGAAAAAG